rnacentral:rRNA from 1 species
AUUGAACGCUGGCGGCAUGCCUUACACAUGCAAGUCGAACGGUAACAGGUCUUCGGAUGCUGACGAGUGGCGAACGGGUGAGUAAUACAUCGGAACGUGCCUAGUAGUGGGGGAUAACUACUCGAAAGAGUGGCUAAUACCGCAUGAGAUCUACGGAUGAAAGCAGGGGAUCGCAAGACCUUGUGCUACUAGAGCGGCCGAUGGCAGAUUAGGUAGUUGGUGGGAUAAAAGCUUACCGAGCCGACGAUCUGUAGCUGGUCUGAGAGGACGAUCAGCCACACUGGGACUGAGACACGGCCCAGACUCCUACGGGAGGCAGCAGUGGGGAAUUUUGGACAAUGGGCGCAAGCCUGAUCCAGCAAUGCCGCGUGCAGGAUGAAGGCCUUCGGGUUGUAAACUGCUUUUGUACGGAACGAAAAGCCCUGGGUUAAUACCCUGGGGUCAUGACGGUACCGUAAGAAUAAGCACCGGCUAACUACGUG